rnacentral:sRNA from 1 species
UGGCUGAGACACAAAGUGUUCAAGCUGUGCCUAUAGCGCGGAGGAUACUUUACUUCAUGCCCUCACGGGCCCCGAGCCUUCGCCACAGAUAAAGAGCCCUGAAAGCCACAACUCUCUCCUUCUUGUCUCAAAAGGGCUGCUGAGUCAUUGGCCAGCCAAGUGUAUGGCUCGCGAGUUUCGCUUCAGACUCUGUUCCCACCCCCAUCCUUCAAACCAAACUACAGUGUGGAAUUGGAUGGAAACAAAAAAGAGGCUUUCGGGGGUGGGGCGUGCGGCUCUGGGACUUGAUGUUUCAACUCUGUUAGUCAUUAAUUAUCAUCACCACUAUCACCAUCAUCAUCGUUGUCCGACUCUCAAUACAGUCCGACUGACCUCCACCUGACUAGUCUCCUGCCUCAGCGUCCUGAAUGCUGAUGGACCAGCAUACACCACCACCUUCCGGGCUCUUGUUCAGUAAGUGCCCAAGAAGGCCAGAAGAGGGCGUCAGAGUUCCAGACAGAUGUGAACUGCUGUGUGGUUGCUGGAAACCUGAACCCAGGUCCUGAGCCAUCUUUCCAGUCCCAGCUUCUGAGGAUCUAGGAUGUCUCUAGAAUCGCAAGGGUGUCAUCUACCCUCCAUUUUUGGAUAACAUUUUCACUAAGCAUCUUUUUAACAUCUUCCCUGUGAGUGUUUGUCUAAAUUUACUCCUUUCUGUUUUGUGGCACAGGGCAUGAAGCCCAGGCCAUGCAAGUCCUAGGCAAGUGCUCUAUCUUACCCUAUCAGAUACAGGACCAGUUUCUUCCUGUUCGAUACCUUUUUUUUUUUUUUUUUUUUUGAGCCAGGGUCUUCCAUAGUCCAUGCUAUCCUCAAGUUCACUAUAUAGCCAAGGCUGGCUUUGGACUCCCAGUUUUCUUGCCUCCACACUCCUGGGAGCUGAAAUGACAGACAGGGACCACAAUGCCCUGCUUACUUUGUAGCAUUUUGUUAGAGUGAUCUGAGGAGUUGGAGGCACCACCACUGUGAUAUUAGGGGGCCCUGGCCAGGGUACUGGCAUGAGGAAUUUUGAUGUCACAAGCCCAGAAAAUCACAGAUGCAGUUUCUUCGUUACUAGAGGAAAGCCACGUGUGUAGUCCUAGGGGGACAUCGUUCCAUGUUCAUGUGUGCUUCUGCCGUGUGCUUACAUUGUUCCAGACUCUGGGGGCGGGGCCAGCAGUGUGUGGGAUGGGGCAGCAUGUAUGGACUGGGGGCGUGGCCAUCAGUGUGUGGGAUGGGGCAGGGUCAGAAGUGCAUGGGAUGGGCUUCCUGUCUUGUAGAUGCUCUUUUUGUGGAGAAACUGACCAAAGGUUGCCCAGUGAGGGAAAGAAGCAGGCAGAUAUGCAGACAGAUGGCAGACAGACUGCAAGAGAAGAGCCUCGCGAUGAAGAAUUAUGUGGGGCGAGACACGCCUGCAAUCCCCUCACCUGAGAGACGGAGGCUCGUGAAGUGAAGGUCGUCUGUUGCUGUAGAGGUCUUGCUAUGCAGCCUGGGGCAGGACUCGAACUCGGAUCCUCUUGUCUCAUUCUCGCGAGUUUGAAAAACACGACACCACCGCAUGAAUGGGUUAAGAAAAUGUUUAAUCGCCCCUCAGCCUGGUUCUCUCAGAUGUCCUCAAAGGUGCUCCAGACUAUGAAUUCCAGUUGAAGAAGGAAGAAGAUAAAAGCUGAAAUUGGAAAAAAAAAAGAGUUGCUGAUAGCCCAUGGAUGGACCAAUCCUUUAACUCCUGAGGCAUUCUGGGGGUAGAGAGCUGGGAAAAAUAAAACAUAUUAAAAAUACGGAGGGACCCUGGUGGUGGGGAUGAUGGGAGAUAAGCACCCUUCCCCCACAACACACUUCAGUCCACGGAUUUCCUCUUCCCCCUCAGUCCCAGGCUGUGUAUAAAUUCUAUGCAAAUGUGUUUACUUUGUGCUUUA